rnacentral:rRNA from 1 species
UACGUAGGGUGCGAGCGUUGUCCGGAAUUAUUGGGCGUAAAGGGCGCGUAGGCGGCGUCGUAAGUCAGAUGUGAAAGCCCAGGGCUCAACCCUGGAAGUGCAUCUGAUACUGCGAUGCUUGGGUCCUGGAGAGGGUGUGGAAUUCCUGGUGUAGAGGUGAAAUUCGUAGAUAUCAGGAGGAACACCGGUGGCGAAGGCGACCACCUGGACAGAGACUGACGCUGAGGCGCGAAAGCGUGGGGAGCAAACAGG